UACGUAGGGGGCAAGCGUUGUUCGGAAUUACUGGGCGUAAAGGGCGCGUAGGCGGCCUGUUAAGUCGAACGUGAAAUCCCCAGGCUCAACUUGGGGAACUGCGUCUGAUACUGGAUGGCUUGAAUUCGGGAGAGGGAUGCAGAAUUCCAGGUGUAGCGGUGAAAUGCGUAGAUAUCUGGAGGAAUACCGGUGGCGAAGGCGGCAUCCUGGACCGGUAUUGACGCUGAGGCGCGAAAGCCAGGGGAGCAAACGGG
rnacentral:rRNA from 1 species